rnacentral:precursor_RNA from 17 species
AGUCUUUUCCAAUGGAAUUGUGAAGUGGAGCCUCUAACAUGUGAGAACUUGCUCUCAUUGAAGUAAGUGCUCGCUUGUUGGGAUUUCUACUGCUCAACAGUACAACUUUUGAGAA